GACGAACGCUGGCGGCGUGCUUAACACAUGCAAGUCGAACGGAAAGACCCUGCUUUUGUGGCGCGCUCGAGUGCCGAACGGGUGAGUAACACGCGAGUAACCUGUCCUUGUCUUUGGGAUAACUCCAGGAAACACCGGCUCUUACCGCAUAGGAGCUCCUGCAGCACGGUGUUGGUUGGUAAGUUUCGGCGGUUGGGGAUGGACUGGCGGCUUAUCGGCUUGUUGGUGUGGUAGUUGCUUACCAAGCGUUUGACGGCUAGCCGGCCUGAGAGGUUGAACGGCGUCCAGGGGACUACGGUACGGCGCAGUAGGCUACCGGACGCAGCAGUGGGGAGCAUUGCAGAGUGGGGGGAAGCCUGUUGCAGAAGCGCCGGGAGCGGGAUGACGGCUUUCUGGUUGUAAACAGCUUUGGCCGGUGACGAAGCGUGAGUGACGGUAAUGGGUAAAGAAGCACCGGCUAACUACGUG
rnacentral:rRNA from 1 species